AUUUGUUUUUCUUCAGAAGCCUACGUCUGGAGUUACGACAUUAUAUUUUGCAGUGGAAGGUUUCUGCGUGAUUUGAAAUAUCCAACCCCAGCAAUGAGCGACGCAGCAGAAGAAGAAAAUAGACCUAAAGAUGAAAAUAGAUCUGAAGAUGCAACAGUCGAAGAGGAAAAGCCUUGGCACAGGUGGACAUCAUGGGCGUGUUGGGGCAAUAAGGAAUCGGAAAACUACGAUGUAACCGGGGUCGGUGUUUUUACCUCUGUGGUGCUCACUUUAGUUGCAUUUGGU